CCUACGGGUGGCAGCAGUGAGGAAUAUUGGUCAAUGGGCGCGAGCCUGAACCAGCCAAGUAGCGUGAAGGAUGACUGCCCUACGGGUUGUAAACUUCUUUUAUAAAGGAAUAAAGUGAGGCACGAGUGCCUUUUUGUAUGUACUUUAUGAAUAAGGAUCGGCUAACUCCGUGCCAGCAGCCGCGGUAAGACGGAGGAUCCGAGCGUUAUCCGGAUUUAGUGGGUUUAAAGGGAGUGCAGAUGGGUUGUUAAGUCAGUUGUGAAAGUUUGCGGCUCAACCGUAAAAUUGCAAUUGAUACUGGCAGUCUUGAGUACAGUUGAGGUAGGCGGAAUUCGUGGUGUAGCGGUGAAAUGCUUAGAUAUCACGAAGAACUCCGAUUGCGAAGGCAGCCUGCUGGACUGUAACUGACGCUGAUGCUCGAAAGUGUGGGUAUCAAACAGGAUUAGAUACCCCAGUAGUC
rnacentral:rRNA from 1 species